rnacentral:rRNA from 1 species
GACGUAGGGCGCGAGCGUUGUCCGGAUUUAUUGGGCGUAAAGAGCUCGUAGGCGGCUUGUCGCGUCGUUCGUGAAAACUUGGGGCUCAACCCCAAGCUUGCGGUCGAUACGGGCAGACUAGAGGUAGGUAGGGGAGAAGUGGAAUUCCCGGUGUAGCGGUGAAAUGCGCAGAUAUCGGGAGGAACACCGGUGGCGAAGGCGGUUCUCUGGGCCUUACCUGACGCUGAGGAGCGAAAGCGUGGGGAGCGAACAGG